rnacentral:lncRNA from 1 species
AUUUUAGAAUACCAAUUCAAAGUUGCAAGUAUUAAGAAGAAAAAAAAAAUAUAAUUAUUUGUUGUUUAGUUGGAGAAUUUAUUCAUUCCUACAUAUGGCCUAGAAAUAUCGAACUUAAUAUCUCAUGCAUAUUACUCAGCUCCUUCCCAAUUGAAAGCGAAUUUAUGACAAUAGCCAUCAAUGCAAAAGGAAAAGAUACAGUUGGGUACUGUAACUAAAUCGGGACAAUCUUGAGUGGAUUUACAUUCUUGAGAUGUUGGAAUGGUUUCAUAUGGAUCAUUGCUAUUACUAGCGACCUCCUCUAUAAUAAGAAAUAAAAUAACAAAUAAAAUUAUAAUGGGAACUAUCUUAACAUUCUUAGGCAUUUUUUUUCUUUAGGUAUAUAACAAAUAGAAUUACAAUUUGAUCAAUUUAUAGUGUACAAAAUUUGUCAAAUAAAAGCAACAAAAAAAAAACGUCAAAUGACUUUUAUUUGUCCCUUUAGAACAUUUAGUAAAUGUCUAUUGGUAUAUCAAUGUGUUGAGUUUGCCUCUAAAACAUAGUGAUGGAGUAACGUAAUGUUUUUCCUAACUAUUUAUUAAUGUUAAAUAAGUUUUUGUCGUUUUAAAUAUCCUCAACUAUAUAUUUAUAGUCCUUAUAAAAUAUUUCAGCAAGUUUUAAUCCUCCGAAUAGUUUUCAAAACAACUUUUUUUUUAAGAAGCAAAACUUUAUUAACAACCCUCCAAUUUAAUAGUAAUGCAUGUGUAUCCUCCAAAUAUUAUUUUAAAGAACAUAAACUUUUAUUUUAAAAUGGCACAUAAGUAAUUUUAAGUCAAAAUGUCAAUCGGGGUAAAGUUGGAUGCCAAAAACAAGCAAUUGAUACUUGAGUGGCAAAAAUCGGAUAAAUUGUGAAAUUUGGGGUUUAAAAUAAAAAAAAAUUGAGACAUGAGCACAAAAUCAAGCAAUUAAUUGUAUAAAUCGGAUGACCAUUACUGCUUAAAAGUUUAUUUAUUUAUUUUUUUAUAUAAAAACAUUUCAUUAUGAAACAGAUUAAACUUCACUCCAUCUCAAAACUAUGGUUCAAAAGAGAGAAUUGUCAAAUCCUAUAUAGAUUUUCACACUGAAUUCAUGGCUUCUCAUAUGUGUCCAAGUUUAAUUCAUGAAGCCCAACUUGCACUUGAAAAUUGAUAACAUAUUGUCAAACCUAAUAUAUGAUCUAGGCAGCCACCUCAACAACGCAACUAUCCUCUGCAACAUCCUAAUAAUAAUAAUAAUAAUAAUAAUAAUAAUAAUAAAAUAAAAAAAUCUUAAAAAUAGGGGUGAUUAAAACAAAGUUCGAUAACAAAACUUAUAAAUCCUAAAAUUUGGCAAGCAAAACAUACCACACAGAAAUCAUCAUGAAUAAAGUUAGGAAUGGUAACGUUAAAAGACAGCCAAUAAAAAAAAUAAAGACGUUGAAAUUUUAACGUGGAAAACUCUCGAUUCGAGAGUAAAAACUCACGAGUCGUUCAAACUAAAGAAAUAGCCCCAUUAAAAUCAAAUAAGAGUAUAAGAGAGUCUUAAAGUGAUGUACAAACAACCGCUAGCCACCAACCAAACAAGAAAGCACAAAAGCUUGCAAAACAAGAAAAAAUAGAAAUUGAAAAUUUUCCCAUAAACCUAGUGCAAUGUGACCUUGAUUUUUCUCAGCUUAAAAUUUAAAGUCAUCGUGAACAGAGGGGAGAUUAAUCAAACGAGGGAUCUUUUACAUUAUUUGUAGAAGAUUUCACCAAGAGUAUCAAUCGCAAGCAGGCGACAAACAGCCGGUACAUGCUACAUGGACCGUAGUUGUUAGAUCUUAUAUUGGGGUGUCUUCUAUAAAUAACUUGG